UCUGUUGCAGACAAUGAUUUUUCUGAUCAAUUAAAGCCAUUACACAGUUUUGGAAUAUGGCAAAAAAAAGACAGCAAAGUAUGGAAGUAAGGAGGGAAGGAGGAGAGAAAGAGUAGUUUAAACCACUUGACUCAUCAGAAUAGAAGUGUAAGUUCAGAAUAUAUGGUUAAACUUUGUUGUCCCUGUAUAUUGACUAGCAAUAUAGAAAAUAAUUGCUAUAGACUUAGCAGAUUUUUUUUUCCACAGUAUCUGGAAAGGAAUUCUUUUUCCGUUAUACUGUCAGACUUUCCCUGACCCUCUCCUAUUCCCAGGACAGAUGACUGCAUCAAAAAGAAAAAAAAAAAUAAAUUACUUCUUUGAUUAAAAAAAAUUAAAACCUCUGGGAGAGAAAUUAUAGAAACAAUUACGAUGAGCUUUGGUGUUUUUGUUUUUUUUAAUUUAGAAUGGUUACCAAUGCUAAAAAAAACCCCAAACCAAAAAAGCAUUUCAAUUAUCUUUCUUUAGGCUGAGGCCAAAAUCCCUGAAUGAAAGUCGCUUCACUGCAGGUGUCUCUUCCUACAUCCAGGCAAAUUUGGGUUGCCUGGUAUUAGCUUGUGGGGCCCUUGAGUCAGGAUUCUCGGUCUGUAUCCCCUGACUACCUUUAUUUUGUAUUGGGCAGAUCUCAGUCCUUCUAUACCACCAUCUUUUCCCAAUAAGGAUGUGGAAGCUUAAUUAGGCACUGAAAAGUUAUUUUAGUAUCCCAAGUGGAUGCUGUCAUAGAAGGAAAACGUAACUUUCCAUUGAGAGAACACAAGAUAACUCAUGCCAGCUUGUUUCACUCCUCUCCAAGAGGCAGCUGUAGUCCCGCUAACUGGCUGUCAGAGUAGAGGGCUUUGAUUUUGGAAAGGGCACCAGCAGGACAGCUGCAGUCUGCACAGAAAUCCAAAGGAUGGUAACUUGGACCUAGCUGGUGGUCAUGUUUUCUUUGAUUCUGGGAGAUUUCAUCUGCUGCCAUCUCACACAGCCCCAUGCAAAGACAAAGGCUUUUCAUCAUCUGAACGUUGGUCCCUCCAGGAAGAAAUUAAAUUACCUGACACAAAAAAGGGACAGCUUGGAACUGAGGCUGCUUCUGUACUUCUCAGGACUGUUGAAUAUGUGAAUUGAAGUGCCUGAACAGCAGUUAAGUUGGUGGCUGGGUUCCCUGCAUCCCUACCUGGCCUCAUGCUGACUGGUUCCUGUGCAGCACUACUCCGCUGGUUCUCAGCUGGCACUGGAGCCAGGACCAUCACCCACUGGGACAGGUAGCUGUGUUUCCUUUGCCCCCAGCACUCUCUGCAGGGAUAACAAGGGAAACCUCCUCUAAGCACAGUGUGCUGUGCUCACCAGCAAGCAGAGGCACAGGCUCUGCUCCCAGCUUCCACCUUACCCUGAAGGACAGAAGGGUGAAGACCUUCAUCUGCCUCUCGCUCUUUGGCACAGAAAAAGUGGUCCAGUAUUUUUCCCCUGUUCUCCAAGCACAAGGAAAGAAGGUCCAGUGUCCCUUGAGGAGUCUUCAGCAGUUUCCCUUUUCCUCCAAAAAAGGGGAGCAGUGGAAGCUGAGCGGUGUGAAAGAGCAGCUGCGGGUGGCGGAGAGAAAGUAGCAAGGGUUUGAAUCAAAAUAAACCGAACUCCAGAACUGCUUCUCAGCUGGCUCUGCAUCCUCUGUUCUCCCAGUGCCAAUCUCUCAUGCAGACCUAAUUUCCAUUCUCUGCUGCAGAAUGCACCAUUCAAGGCACUUUCUCCUUGGAAUUUUAUAAAGCUCUUGAAGAAGCUCUUGGACCAAGUCAAACACGAAAACGUAAUGUUAGGUUUGGAGGACAGCAGAGCAACUAUAAGGAUCUGUAACUUCCAUGAGCUCUGGUGGCACAUCCUCUGUGCAUUGGAAAUCUACAGUGCAGCAUACAUAUAUCUCCUGCUUUCAGAAGAACAACAUGAUAUUCUCUCUAUUCAGUGACGUUCUGCUCUCCAGUGCCAAUUAUAUUUAAAAUGCUGUUGCCCAGGGAAGAGAAGAUACUGUGCAACACCCAUAAAAUAAAUUUCACAGGGCCAGCAUGAUGGCAGGUGAGUGACUUCCACCAUAGUGUUAGCAAAGGCAGAAUCAUGCAUUGCUUUCUGGGGCUAAGCAGAGUACCUAAGAGGUAGUAUUUUCCCCUUAAAAACGCUCAGCCCUCUGGUAGAACUCCAUUUCUCACAGCACAUCAUUCUCCUAUCUGACUAAACAGGUGCCACUUGAGAUAGAAGGAGCCACUUAAAAGAGGAGUGUCACUUACAAAGAGGAAAGUUCACAGGAUGCUGAAGUCAGCAGAUUUUGCACCACCUCACCCUCUCUCCUAUUGCCCAUAUGGAAGGGGUAGGAAGAUGCUUCAAAUACUUUGAAUCUUCAAAUUCAACUGAGUCACCAUCAAGGACAUCUCUGUAGGGAUCAGGUGUGGGAUUUUCCUUCAAAAUGACAUUAAAGACUCAGACAAAGUUUGUGAUCUGGGGUUUAUGAAAAAUUCCUCAAUCCCAGCUUGACAAAAAUGAAAGCAUCAGCAUGUCUCACAGAGGUAUGGCUUGGUGGACACCCUGUUAAUUAUUUUUACAAGUCCACUAGACCAGGAACUCAUAAAGGGAUCCAUUUUCACAGACUACGCUCAUGUUUCACUCUAGAAGCGAUGUAGCCCCAGAAUAAGCUUUGUUGUGACUACUGAACACUCGAGUUCUAUAUUUCAGCACGGAAGCUUACACAGAAAAGCCUGAAAUUGUAGUAAAUAGGUUCUACUAGACUUCUUCUGGUUUGCUGCAUCACCCUGCCAAGUACAUGGGCUCAGAACUUCAGCUAGAGGGAAGAGAAGGGACACCACCUGUCAUCACUCAUAAUGCUGUGCUAGUCUUACUGUUCAGCCGCUGGGGAGCCAGAACUUUUAAAGCAGCAUUUUCAGAAAAGAAUUGCAAGCACAUCUGCAGAGAGAAGCCCAGAGACAGCUGAUCAAACUGGUUAAUGAGGCAUCUGCAUAAGCAUAGUUGUGGCAGCAGUAACUACACCCCACACUCAGUCCCACUUGAAACAGGGCUAAAUAUGGGAAGCAGAACGGAUCAGAAAGCUCAUUGAAGAGUCACCGCUUUUGCUAAAGGAAAACUUGAGUUCUGCCAAAUGCGCCUUCCAUGGGAAAAUUUUGAUUUUCUCAGAAGUUUCUGAUUUCCCAUCACAAAAAUUAAGAUUUUUAGCUCCAGGAUUUGCUAACACAACUCACAAAAAGCGGUCAUAAGAGAAAUCUUAGUGUCUCUUUUCAGCCUCAUUUCCCAGUCAUCUUCUUAGUCCUAUUGUCUCAUGGGAGCAGUAAUUCAAGUGCUGUGAGCCCCCCUUCUCCUUCCUCUUUGGCUCUUAGGCUUGAACACAUUUUCCACAGUGCACCACAGUAUUCUUUUUAUUUGGACUCCCGCAGCUCACGAUGGAAAGAGUCAUCUGAAUGGGGGGCGCCAGCCCUGGAGGAAAGCAGAUCACGAGAACCACAGCUUCCAUGAGUCACUGUGGUAGGCACAUGGGACACAAGGAUCAGGCCAGCAACUUCCAACAUUUCCCAUCUAAAUAUUGCUUUUUGUGCUUCAUCAGGAAAAGAACCCCGAAGCUUAUUUUGUGAUACAAAUUCACAUGCUUAACUAUCUCUAAUCAUAUAUUAAAAAAAUAGGCUUAUUGCACAGCCUGUUUCGUGGUCUCUUUGAAGGCUCUGAUUCCUCAGCCUGAUUCCAUCAGCCCCGUCCCAGAUGUAUCUGUGACAAAAUUACAGAUUUCUUUGUUUUAUAAUACACCAGCAGUGUAGCAUCUGGCAAUGUCGUUUGGGGUUUUUGUUUUGUUUUGUUUUGACUGGAAAGAAACCUCCCCAAAUACUCCAGUCAAAUCCCUCAAAAACAUUAAAUCAGCAUUUUUUAACUUAUGCUCAGAGGACAAGGCAGGAUUUCCUGACUCAUCAAGCGAGAACACAGGCAUCUGCAUGCCAGCCCACAGGUGGCUGCCACAGAAUCUGACACCGUGGUAAGCGGGAAUGGGCACCCCUCCAUCACCCCACAGCCUCACCAUGCAGGCCAGUCAGCUGGUGGGGAAGAGAUUUCAGACAAAUCCACUUGAAAUGGUACCCAUCCACACUGUGGGUCACUUAGAGGGAGAAGGGGCUCCAGGCCUUCUGUCACACACAGUGCCUUUUCCUGCACUUAGAAGAAAGCUCUCUGACUUCCCAUGUAUGCAGGAUAUUCCCCCGCUCCUUUUUAUCAUUCUUUGUUGUGAAGGCCCUGUCAGUAAAAUGUGCAUUUCAACAGUGAGUCUCUCAUAGCUCUCCUUAUCUUUAAUUUCCUUCCACUAUAGUCUAUUUUAUAGAGCCUUUCCCUUACUGGCAAUUUUUUCCCCUUCUCAUUUCAGCUGCAAUGGCCAGAUCAGGAUCAAAACUUCUCACAAGUUAAGGGAAAGUCUGCAGGCAAAAGAUGUCAUUUAGCUCAAAGAAGAGAUGCAGGCCAGGGCAGUAAAUGUGUUUGUCCUUCGGGUUUAGUUUAGCCAGAUACCUUUUCAGCCUUGCAUUCUGUGACAAAAUAAUUUUAUUUUCUUAAUUACCCCUUUUAAUAAAUCAGAGCCUUUCUUUCAGAUUAGGCAUAAACAGCAGGAUCAGUAGCAAUCAUUCAUUUAAUCAUCAAUUUUCUUAGAAAGGGCCCAUAGGGGAGGAAGGAAAAGCCUCAUCCCUGCUAAAAAUGUUUUCUUGCAAGCCAGGGAAAGAGCUGUCUCCCUCUCCUAGGUUCUGCCCUUGUUCCUGGAUAUCCACCAGUUUUGGAGGAGGCCCAAAGUGAAUUUUCUGUUUCUAAAUACUUCCUCUCAUACUCUGCAGAUAGAUGCAGUAGUGAGGAGGAUGGUUAAGGGGCAGAAAGAAGAGGAAGGCCAGGAAUGUCCAGGCCAGAGAGAGGUUGGGCCAUGUUACAGGGAUGGUGGCACUACAGCUUGGCAGCAGGGAAAGAGAGCAGCAAAAUAUUUGGAAGGGUGGAGAAGAGGCUGAAAAGUCAGACAGACUUUCUCUUCAGUUUGACUGGUGCAUGAGACAUCCCUUGCCAAUGUCUCUGGAGGACAUUUUUCCAGUUCAUAGGAAAUAUAUAUUAAAAAAAAAGUAGUUUUCAGGCCAAUUGGAACAAAGUCAAAUUUCUAAAAAAAUGAAAAAGACUCAUCAUAAACUGUAAAUAUUGCUUUUCAGCAAGCUCUGAAAAUACCUAAGCAAACAGUUUGAAAAACCCAUCAGCUGUAUAUUAGUUACCCUCGCAGCAAUACAUGCUUUCCCUUUUGGAAACAUUUACAAACAGCGUGUACAGUCACAGAAACUGGGAAUGUUUCAUGCAUUAUUAAGUAAAAAGUGGGAUGAGAGGGAAGUACUUGAUGAUGAGUGUAACAUCCAAGGAAUAUUCAUCUGUGAACAGCCUGGUGAUCUCCUGUUCCCAUAACUGAAAGAUUUUCUUGUGAACGCCUGCAUUCCCCCACACCAUACGAGGUUGGUCAUGCACAGCUUCACUCUUUAAUGUUCAUGGCAGGUUAUCCUGAGAAGGCAAUGGUUCUCCUGUUUCAGGCCUUAGGGAGGGUCACCUUGUAAGAGCACGGUGUGUAAUACCUUUCAUUGCACUUGGGAACCAAAGAAUUUGACCUUUGAGAGAAAUAACAUGAAGCAAAAAAUGCAUUCAGAUCACAGUGGGGCUGAGUUGAGAGUACAGGUGGCGAGGGGGUGCUUUGAACCUUGUCCACGUGGCCUCACUGUGUCUCCACAACAGUGAGUCCUCCCCUUUGAAGAAAAUGUAUCGGUGUUUCAAACUGAGGGAGGGAAAGGGAAAAAUUCAUUAAGGAUAGUCCCAUCCUUAAAUAUUCAGAAGUCAUGAAUCAGGAAUCAGAUGUUUGAGGAAUUGCCAUGAGAAAAAAAAAAUUGGAAACAUUUUUAUUUUUUCUGGGGUUUGUGGCUGUCUUUAGAAUGCCCCCGGGUCAUACUUUCAAACUUCUUCACAGUCUGAGGAGUAGAAACUGAUUUCUAUAAAAAUGAAAACUGAGAUUCUCCCCUAAUUAAAUGUCUCCAAGAAGUUACAGGGAAAAAAAACCCAUCAAGUAUCACGAGACCUGCGAUAAAAAUCACAGGAUUUGGCAACACUGAGUUCAUCACGAGUUAGGAAGUGAUAGCACUUGUUUUAGCUGAACAGAAAAAAACAAACAGGCAUAAACCUUAUUCAAAAAUAUUUUGCAGGCAUGACUGCCAAGCUGACAGCCAACUUCAGUUGGCUGUGAGUAAUGCUAUUCAUUAUUUCAGAAUAUUCAUAUAGCCAGUAGGUAUUUCUGGAAAUCCUUGAGAAUCCUGCAUUUUCCAUGAUGCCAGAAUGAUUAAUUUGUAUUGAAAGUUUGUUACUUGCCAAUUAUCCAUCUACUGCUUAAAAAUCUGAAUCACACGCUCAGCAGCCAGAAACAAUACCACGCUGUAUGUUUAGACAUCUGAGAUGCAUAACGAAUAUUCAAAGGAGAAAGUUUGCAAUCAAACCGCAGGCUGAAAGUUAUGCUCUGAAACUGUUCAGCUAAGGAGUGAGAAUAAUUAACACCUUCUCAAAAAGCUAGACUGAUUGCAAGACAGUGUGUGUUACUCAGACAGGCAAUUACAUUCACGGCAAAUAUUAUUUAGAAUUAAUACUUGGAUGACCAAAAGAUAUUAGUUCUAACUACAAACAAAUAGACAGAGAUGCUCUUCUAGACAAUAUAAACAGAUUCCCAGUUUCCAUUGCAGGUUUCAAACCAUCAGUUUAACUCUGCUUGUACAAAAAAUGGACAAGGCAGAUGUACUUCUUCACCAGUCUGUUUUCAUCCACCUAUGCAAAAUUCUCAGCAGAGCUAGAUUUGCAGUUCAGCAUAUAUUCAAGGUAAACAGAGCAGCGUAUGAUUUAUAUACAGGUUAUCGUUCAGCCAAAGUCUGGCAUUUCAUUGAUAUGCCUGUUAUUUAGAUGUAUUCAGAAGCCUUCCAAUGCAUAUGAGUUUUUCCCUUACAGUCACUGUAUUCUCAAAAAAGAUGCAAGAGCCAGAUCUUUUCUAUUCCCCAAGGUUAAAGGAAAAAGUGAGAUGUCCUUUGCUUUUUCAACUCUUUACCCAUAUAGAAUAAUUCAUCUGCUGAUAUUCAUAAGGUGACUUCCACCAGCAAAUGUAAAGAUGUCAGGAGGGGAAUUUUUAAGCACAUAUGUAAUUGCUUAUGAUUGGUAUCUGCUUUUAUUUAGCAUACUUGCUAGUGCUCUCCUUCUCCUGCUAGUCUGUAAGAAUCUUCCUAGCCCAAGAAAUCUGCUCUUUGGGGGACUAUAUUUCAUGUUCUUUCACUCUUCGCAAGCUCUGCCAUAAUAGAAUCAAUGUAUCAAAUCCAUCCCGCAAAGCAGCCAAGGAGUCUAAUGGUAAAAGUAGGAGACGGAGGUGUUUUCUAACGGAAAUUUUGGCAGGAAGGGAUUAAUCUGUGUUUGCCUGUUUCUCAUGCUUCUCUUUCCCUUCAAACACAGUGUGGGAGAAGUGAGACACAGAGAGUGUCUUGUUUGAUCCCUGAUAGUAUUUUCUUUUUUAAAAUUUUACCCCAGAAAGUCUUGCUGAGAAAACCUCUGAGAUUCUUGAAAUCACAUAUUGUUGCAGCCUAAGUCCCCCUGAUAAAUAAACUAUUUAAGCCCGUUCUUUUGCAGCUCCAUACGUCUUGCAUCCCUUUGCAACACGGAGCAAGCACAACAGCGUCACAGGGUGCCAGCAGAGCACCCCACUGCUCCUCCAGCUCUCUCCUCCCGGGAAGUACAAUUUACAGUCCUGGGCACAGGUACACGCAGUGGGGCACUUCUCUCCAAGCAGGGAGCCGGACAAGGGGUGCACGGAAAAAAAACUUGUCGCCCUACGCCAAGUUUGCCACUGACCUCCGUCCACCGCAGGAAGGGAGGCGUCCCCACCGUCUCCCCGGGCCACCACCGUGUGCCCUGACGGCAGCAGGGAGCGGAGGCGCUGCCGGUGCCCGGGAGGCGCGACGCUGGCGCUCCUUCCCGGCGGGAGAAGGCCGGGCAGCGGGGCCGGGAUCGGCCCAGCCGCGCGGGCCGUGCCCACAGCGCCCCCUCGGGGCCGCCCGCGGCGCCGCGGCUCCGGCCUCACCUGCGGCUCGCAGCCCGAGUGACCGCGAAAAAAAAGAAAAAUAAAAGUUAAAAAAAAAAAAAAAAAAAAAA